rnacentral:rRNA from 1 species
UAAAAUCUUAGUGGCGGACGGGUGAGUAACGCGUGGGUAACCUGCCUUACACUGGGGGAUAACACUUAGAAAUAGGUGCUAAUACCGCAUAAGCGCACGAGGCCGCAUGGAUUUGUGUGAAAAACUCCGGUGGUGUAAGAUGGACCCGCGUCUGAUUAGCUUGUUGGCGGGGUAACGGCCCACCAAGGCGACGAUCAGUAGCCGGCCUGAGAGGGUGGACGGCCACAUUGGGACUGAGACACGGCCCAAACUCCUACGGAAGGCAGCAG